UGAUAAACAUAAACAUACACACCACUACACAAACACAAAACCCAUUACGAAAGAAGAAGGUUUGUUAUAUAUAUAUAUAUUUUUUUUUGUUUUCUUUUUUUUCUUUUUUUUUUA
rnacentral:ribozyme from 13 species